rnacentral:tRNA from 1 species
AUUAAUUUGGCAGAAAAGUGCUUUAGAUUUAGAAUUUAAUAAUGUAUAUUAUACAGUUAGUA